rnacentral:rRNA from 1 species
CCUACGGGUGGCUGCAGUGGGGAAUAUUGCUCAAUGGGGGCAACCCUGAAGCAGCCACGCCGCGUGCAGGAUGAAGUAUUUCGGAAUGUUAAACUCCUUUAGCAGGGGAGUAAAUGACGGUACCUGAAUAAGUAGCAACGGCUAACUACGUGCCAGAAGCGGCGGUACUACGGAGGGGGCAAGCGUUAUCCGGAUGUAUUGGGUGUUAAGGGGGCGUAGGCGGCAUGGAAAGUCUGAGGUGAAACCCCGGGGUUCAACCCCGGAACUGCAUGGGAUACUGUUCGGCUAGAGUGUCGGUGAGGUAAGUGGAAUGCAUGGUGUAGCGGUGAAAUGCGUAGAGAUUA